rnacentral:rRNA from 1 species
ACGACUCUCGGCAACGGAUAUCUCGGCUCACGCAUCGAUGAAGAACGUAGCAAAAUGCGAUACUUGGUGUGAAUUGCAGAAUCCCGUGAACCAUCGAGUUUUUGAACGCAAGUUGCGCCCGAAGCCAUUCGGCCGAGGGCACGUCUGCCUGGGCGUCACGCAUCGCGUCG